AAGGUGGAACUCCUAUAAUUUGGUCAGAACAAAAUGGGGAAGCUGUAAGAGCAGGUGGCUGCAAAGCCCAGGAAGAUGUGUUCAAAAGCUGCUCUCCCAGGCACAGAGCUCGUGCUCAGAGCUAGAGGGCUCCAGGAAAGCUGGAGGAGCACAGGGUCACGCAGGGAUUCUGAGACACAGUGGAAGCAACACCACCUUGGCAGGGAUGAAACCAGCUCUCUGACUGCUCGGCUCUGCCACCUUGCCAGUUGAGCAACGAGCAGCCCCUAACCUUUCCAGAGCUCAUUCUCUUCAAUGAAAAUACUCCAGGCAGGAAAAAUACACACUGAGAUGUUGACCAUGGUCCACUCUGGGUGUGCAAUUACAGGGAAGGUGCUGGUUAGUGAGAAGUGAGAAGGAAAGACAGGUUUCCUGUGUCCCUGAUCAGCUUCUGUCAUGCUGCCUUCAUUCACUCUGCUUGUUCAGCUAAGAUCUCAUGACCAAGCAGGGUAAUUCACUGCCUCUUGGAGUCAGUCCCUUCAUUGCCUGUGGGUGAUUCUCCAGCCCCCUGAAGUCAGGUGAGAUCUGAUGACAGGAGCUCCUAUGAGCUCUAGAAGUGUCACUGAAUCUAGAUCCCACUCUGUUCCCUCACUACCACAACACACACAUUCAGCCUUGCCUGUGACUAUCUCGACUCCUGAAGCUCUUCUUUUCAUCAGCAGCCAUGGGAAAGACCAGGAUUACAAAUUCAGUAAGAGGCUCACUUGGGCAGUUGGUUCUUUAUUUGGCUCCAACACCAACACCAGCGCCAUCUGGAGAAGGAAGGAACUCAUAGCUCUUAAAUACCUACACUGGAGCGGAAGCCAAGGAUCACCGAAAAACCUGUCCCUGAUAAUGCCAGUGGUGAGAAAUAAUUGAGUACCUACUGUGUGCUUGGCAUGAUGCUCCCAGCAAGACACCCACGCCUCUUGGAGACCAGCAGAGGGCUCAGGACUCAGCCAAGUGCAGAUUCCCUGAGCUAUAGCUUUUUAAGGGGAAGAGAAAUCUGGAUAAAUUACAAUGGGUGACUCAUUCUCCCUCUUCCUGGAAGCCCAGUCAACCCCAGAUUUUAUUGUCCUAAAAUCAGGUUAAAAUAAACACCACAAACAUUUAUGCAAAGAGUGGUCUGGAAAGAUAAUACAGUAGUUAUCUUUGAGUGGUGGCUUAAGGUUGAUAUUUCCCUCUUUCUUGUACUCUUUAAGGCAGACUGUGUAAUAAACACAUGGCCUUUGGAAAGCAAGCACUUGGGUUCAAAUCUCAACUUUGCUGUGUACUGUCUAUGUGACUUUGGGCAACUUACUUCACCUGUAUGAA